AGGUUUAGCCUUUUUGGCACUUCCAUCAAACUCAGCCGGAUCUUCUGAUCCGGCUUUUUUGUUUGCGAUU
rnacentral:sRNA from 1 species